rnacentral:rRNA from 1 species
AGGACGAACGCUGGCGGCGUGCUUAACACAUGCAAGUCGAGCGGAAAGGCCCUUCGGGGUACUCGAGCGGCGAACGGGUGAGUAACACGUGAGCAACCUGCCCUUAGCUCCGGGAUAGCUCCGGGAAACCGGAAUUAAUACCGGAUAUGACCUAGGCCGACAUCGGCUGUGGUGGAAAGUUUUUCGGCUGGGGAUGGACUCGCGGCCUAUCAGCUUGUUGGUGGGGUAAUGGCCUACCAAGGCGACGACGGGUAGCCGGCCUGAGAGGGCGACCGGCCACACUGGGACUGAGACACGGCCCAGACUCCUACGGGAGGCAGCAGUGGGGAAUCUUGCGCAAUGGGCGAAAGCCUGACGCAGCGACGCCGCGUGGGGGAUGAAGGCCUUCGGGUUGUAAACCCCUUUCAGCAGGGACGAAGCGAAAGUGACGGUACCUGCAGAAGAAGCGCCGGCUAACACGUGCCAGCAGCCGC